CUGUUGUUUAAGACUGUGUGUGGUAUUUUGUUAUGGCAGCCCAAGUGAAUAAGACAGUACCAAAUAGCUCUGGGCUGGCAGGCAUUGCUUUGGGUCAGUCAUACACAGAGUAGGUAUAUUUAUCUGUAAGAGAAACUCUACUGAUGCAAUCCAUGGUACACAAGUACCAAAGGCUGCGAGCGGUCACCGUUGAUUUGUCAAUGCUGUGGGCCCUGCCAUUGGUCCCAGAGUUAGUGUCAGCCAGUGGUCCUUUGGGGUCUUCCCCUCACCUCACCUUAAAUUUUUUGAUUCACAUUCCCUCUGCUUUGUUUGACUGCAUGAAGGUGGGACAGAUGCUGUGUUCGCAGGAGGGCACCAGUGUGCUUUUCUGUUUUCUCCCCUACUUCCCAAUCAUUCCAUCUGAAAAGAAUGCAUGAAACCAGAUUCUAAAGAACCAGCAUGUCUUUUUAAACUUCCUGGCCACCUCUUAGUGGGUGGAGAUCCCACAACAAAGCAGGAACUAUCUAGAGUAUAGAUGUCCGGCCAACCUGCUCACGUGGCCCAAAGGUGAGACCUGAGCUCACGGUUGCUAGCCACUGAGCACCCAGGCCAUGCUGAGCACAGGGCACCGCAGGGCAGAGACUUCUGAAGUUACAGCCUUGCCACUUAACGCGAGAAAGAGCUUCCCGAAGCCAGAAGCUCAACUAUGUGCUGCUCAAGAAUGGCAUGCUGGUGGUGGCAGGCAGCCUACGGAGGAACAGAGAAACGAUGUGGAGUAGCAGACCUGGCCUCAGUGUUACCUCCUUCUCCAUAACUGUGGGACUGGCAAGGAGAAAAGAAAGUGGGGCAACAACCAGAAGAGCCCAAAUGACUGCUUUUGUCCGGGCACAAAUAUCGCUAGUUAUGCCAUGCCCCCACUGAGCCUCUAGAUCCUUGUCAAAUCCUUUUCCGCAGACUAAAAUUAAUCAUUCACAUAUAAACAAAUGUAAAUAUAUUUUUAGCAUGCCUCAGAAAACCCACCUUCCUGUUGGGUUUUGGGGCUCUCUCUCCAAGUCAACUGGCAUAUCACAAAAGCAACUGCAACUGCUUAGAACUUUCCACCGCAUACAGGCGACUGUGACCCCAGGUGACAUCUGACUGUGGAUGCCAAAAUGACUUGUGUUGUGAGAUUACAAUCUCUAACUGCCUUGUGGUUUCAGAAGGCAGGAGAGGCCAGAACUUAAGAGAGGGUGAGGGCUUAAAAAUUCAAGGUGAGGAGUUCCAGAAAAACCCACACAUUUUGAGGGUCAUUUGUGUGGCUUCCUGCGGAAGGUUUUAAAAGCCAGAGCACAGUACUGUUGAGACGUUAGCCAGUGGAAAUAAAGGAAAUCCUCCACCCAGCCAAGCAGCUAGCUGGAUGGCAGCCCCCAGUUGGGGAUGGUAUUUCACCCUGUGAGGGCAGGCGGCAAAGGAAGAGAAACCGACCAACUGUCACCAAUCUGAAAGAAUUUGAGGGCCAGAAGGAUAACAGCAUGAUUUAAAAAAAAAAAAAAGUAUUCUUUUAAAGGCAUACACAGGACAUAUGAUCCCUAAGUAAUAGCUCGUAAUUAAUAAAAUAACUCUGUGUUCCUGCCAAAGUACUCUUUUUCUAACUCAUUUGCAGACAUUAGAUACCUCUUACCUCUUCUUUGCACUUAUCAUCAUUCCACGAAAAUACGAGAUUGGGGCAAAUAAGGAUUUGCAUUGACAGGACAUCUUGUGCUUUUCAAAUAGUCCGUUCCACCGAGAGGUUCCUUGACUUUGGCCUUCAGUCCUGACUUAAUUUCUUUGCUUAUGGGUAAAACAAGGAAUUCCUGUCACACUGCCAACAUCACCCCCUUUCUUCUCACCCCAAGGAGAGUGCAGAGAGGAGGCGAGACCAAGCCUGCCCAGAGUUGGAGUCUUGAGACGUGAGAUUCUCCAGCUGGAGCCCUAUAAAUUGGACUGACAAAAGACAGAUUAGCAAGAGAAAUGCAAGCAGCAGUUUAUUAACAUGUGCAUCAUGAUUACACAUGGAAGUACCCAGAGGCAGAAUUAAAGAUUCAAGAUGUACCUACUUCUUCCGGGGACAACAUUCAUGAUUCUUAAAGAUUUCACAAGUGUACCUUCUAAGGGUAAGUGGCUGGAAGUAGUAAGAGGUCAAUGCCAAGUGAAAUCCUCUGGCGUUUUCUUCUGACAACCAGGAGUCUGCAAAGUGUUUCACACAGCAAAGCCCAGGAGCACAGGUCUUGCAGCCUCUGGAUAACCAACUCGUCUCUCACCAGUGGUUCAAAAAAGCCCAUGCUAUCCUCAUCCAAAUAAACUUAUGAAAUGCUUUACCAAAUGAUUUGUUCAGAACAGUGAAUACUAGACACAACUUUGUGUGGAACAAGAGGAGAUCCAGUAAUGACAAUACAUCUUUUGUUAGAAAGACUUACAAAGGCUGUGACAUUCUUCUUUGAAGUGUUGUCAUUGUGUUGGAUGGGAUGAAGUGGUUCUAGGACACACAAAAAAGGAUCAAGAACAUCUGAGAAGACUACAGAUAAGUCCUUACUGCUGAUUUUGGACACAGGUCAGCCAUAUGAAGAUUCAGAUGAGCAGUCUGUGCUUCCUUUGCCUUAUCUCUCAAGAGCUGAGACCUUAUUUCUAUUCCACCUUGAACAAUUUUGUUUGAGUACAACAUAUUUACUGAUAUGGUCAGCUCAAGUCAUUGUGGAAUGAAUACUUAGAUGCUGCGUUCUUCCAAAAACUGAGCAGAACCUCCCUUCUGUGAACAUUUUCAAUAGGUUGUUUUCAAGGCUGUUAAUGGAGUAGAAGUCAUUCCUGUGGCUGGCAUAUCUGAACUGCCUGCAUAUCAAUAUCUGUUGAGACAUAGCACCAAAUAAUCAUUCGAAGCCCAGAAGUGAAUAAGAACAAUCCAUUCACGCGUGGGACAUUUAUUGGAUAUCGUCUAUUUUAAAAACAUUGGCUCAUCACUCUGGGAUAUGAAUAAAAAAUUAGAGGAGAAAAGAUGAAUAUAAAAACAUAUGGUAACUGAAGAAGGACUGAAGAGCUGAUGGCAAGGAUUCUGUCUCAGGUGUUUCCAAAGGCAGAGAGAGUCUACGAGUCAAUUCCAAAGACAUGUGUUCUCCCUUCCUCCAAUUCAGCUACCACCAAGGCUCCACCUGGCCCUUUAGGGACUCACGCUCCACUUACAUUUCUGGGAGGAGAACAAAACUGGUUCUUCCUUAGGAACCAAAACAGUAACAUGGGCCCUGUGCUGAUCUGAAAGGUAUUUUUAUUUAAGGAAAAGACUUGGCUUUUUUCAUGUUAAGGUUAAAUAUUUUCUCUGGGGACUGUGAUGAACACCUCCUGAAAAGUAAAAAUCUAACGGUGUGUGUGUGUGUGUGUGUGUGUGUGUGUGUGUGUGUAGGUGUGUAGGACGUUUUCUCUAGAAUUCUAAAAUUUCUUUUCUUAGGUAAUAAUUUUCACAUUUGCUAAGUUCUGAAUGAAUCUAAACUAUUUUGCUUUGAGUUUGUCUUCCUAUUACUAAUCCAUUUUCUGCUCUAGAAGAUUUUGAAGAUAAGGUAGGUUUUGAACUUAGCCCACUGACUGCCAAGCAAUAGUCAUUUACAUGGAAAGCAAAAAAAAGAAGUUAUUGGCAUCAGAAUUGACUCAGUCAUUAAAAUAUUCCACACCUAGAUUUCUCAAAGAACUAAAAACAAAACUACUAUGUGACCCAAUCUCACUACUGGGGAUACACCCAAAGAGAAAGAAGUCAUUAUAUCAAAAAGAUGUCUGUACUCAAAUGUUUAUCACAACGCUGUUCACAAUAGCAAAGACAUGGAAGCAACUGAAGUGUUCAUCAGUGGAGGACUGGAUAAAGGAAAUGGGAUAGACUAUUCACCAUGGAAUACUUGUCCAUCCAUAGAAAAGAACAAAAUCAUG
rnacentral:lncRNA from 1 species